UACAGAGGGGGGCAAGCGUUGUUCGGAAUUACUGGGCGUAAAGGGCGCGUAGGCGGCCUUCUAAGUCGAACGUGAAAUCCCCGGGCUCAACCCGGGAACUGCGUCCGAUACUGGAGGGCUGAAUCCGGGAGAGGGAUGUGGAAUUCCAGGUGUAGCGGUGAAAUGCGUAGAUAUCUGGAGGAACACCGGUGGCGAAGGCGACAUCCUGGACCGGUAUUGACGCUGAGGCGCGAAAGCCAGGGGAGCAAACGGG
rnacentral:rRNA from 1 species